AGAAACAUAAUGCUUUAGCAUAGUUCAUGCAUCAUGACUGCUAUGAUAUGUAUUAGGGUGAUUGCAUUAGAAUCACGAAUAUGAAGCAUUGCAUAUUAUGUGAUCAGAGAUGAGGUGGACCCAGGCGACUCCAAUAGCCUAAGCUUCGGCUCCUGUCAUUGUGUCAGGUCAGUUGGGCAAGUACAUGUUGGAAUGCCCUGUGUAGCUCCUUUGGGGGGGCCAGUAUUGACAGAGGGUAUUUUUGGGGUCAUGUCUACCUUAGUGGAGAUUGGACCAAGGCGACUUCACUA
rnacentral:lncRNA from 1 species